UACGAAGGGGGCUAGCGUUGCUCGGAAUCACUGGGCGUAAAGCGUGCGCAGGCGGCUUUGCAAGACAGAUGUGAAAUCCCCGGGCUCAACCUGGGAACUGCAUUUGUGACUGCAAGGCUGGAGUGCGGCAGAGGAGACUGGAAUUCCUGGUGUAGCAGUGAAAUGCGUAGAUAUCAGGAGGAACACCGAUGGCGAAGGCAGGUCUCUGGGCUGACACUGACGCUCAUGCACGAAAGCGUGGGGAGCAAACAGG
rnacentral:rRNA from 1 species